ensembl:misc_RNA
UUGACAGGCCUGGAAACCGAGCUGCCUCAAUUAUCCACAGAAUCAGGUUCAACACAGGCAGUAAUAGUGCAGGCUUCCCCGACACUGCUUAGCCAGUGUGCCCCAGUCCUGCCUCUACAACUGAGAGGGUAGUUCAGCCUACAGGCUUAUUCAACCUGUGGCCAGC